rnacentral:rRNA from 1 species
GACGAACGCUGGCGGCGUGCUUAACACAUGCAAGUCGAACGGAAAGGCCCUGCUUGCCGGGUACUCGAGUGGCGAACGGGUGAGUAACACGUGGGUGAUCUGCCCUGCACUUCGGGAUAAGCUUGGGAAACUGGGUCUAAUACCGGAUAGGACCGCACUUUAGUGUGUGUGGUGGAAAGUUUUUUCGGUGUAGGAUGAGCUCGCGGCCUAUCAGCUUGUUGGUGGGGUAAUGGCCUACCAAGGCGGCGACGGGUAGCCGGCCUGGGAGGGUGUACGGCCACAAUGGGACUGGGAUACGGCCCAGACUCCUACGGGAGGCAGCAGUGGGGAAUAUUGCACAAUGGGCGCAAGCCUGAUGCAGCGACGCCGCGUGGGGGAUGAAGGGCUUUGGGUUGGAAACUCCUUUCGCUAGGGACGAAGCUUUUUGUGACGGUACCUAGAUAAGAAGCACCGGCUAACUACGUG